rnacentral:rRNA from 2 species
GAUGAUACUAAGCCAUGCGAGUCAUNNNAGCAAUGCAAGGCAGACGGCUCAGUAACGCGUAGUCAACCUGCCCUAUGGACGGGAAUAAUCUCGGGAAACUGAGGCUAAUUCCAGAUAGAACACUAUGCCUGGAACGGCUUGUGUUCCAAACGAUUUAUCGCCGUAGGAUGGGACUGCGGCCUAUCAGUUUGUUGGUGAGGUAAUGGCCCACCAAGACUAUUACAGGUACGGGCUCUGAGAGGAGUAGCCCGGAGAUGGGUACUGAGACACGGACCCAGGCCCUAUGGGGCGCAGCAGGCGAGAAAACUUUGCAAUGUGCGAAAGCACGACAAGGUUAAUCCGAGUGGUUCCUGCUAAGGGAACCUUUUGACGGUCCUAAAAACACCGUUGAAUAAGGGGUGGGCAAGUUCUGGUGUCAGCCGCCGCGGUAAAACCAGCACCUCAAGUGGUCAGGAUGAUUAUUGGGCCUAAAGCAUCCGUAGCCGGCUCUAUCAGUUUUCGGUUAAAUCUGUGCGCUCAACGUACAGGCUGCCGGGAAUACUGUAGAGCUAGGGAGUGGGAGAGGUAGACGGUACUCGGUAGGAAGGGGUAAAAUCCUUUGAUCUAUCGAUGACCACCUGUGGCGAAGGCGGUCUACCAGAACACGUCCGACGGUGAGGGAUGAAAGCUGGGGGAGCAAACCGGAUUAGAUACCCGGGUAGUCCCAGCUGUAAACUAUGCAAACUCAAUGAUGCACUGGCUUGAAGCCAAUGCAGUGUUGCAGGGAAGCCGUUAAGUUUGCCGCCUGGGAAGUACGUACGCAAGUAUGAAACUUAAAGGAAUUGGCGGGGGAGCACCACAAGGGGGAAGCCUCG